rnacentral:rRNA from 1 species
GACGAACGCUGGCGGCGUGCUUAACACAUGCAAGUCGAACGGAAAGGCCCUGCUUUUGUGGGGUGCUCGAGUGGCGAACGGGUGAGUAACACGUGAGUAACCUGCCCUUGACUUUGGGAUAACUUCAGGAAAUUGGGGCUAAUACCGGAUAGGAGCUCCUGCUGCAUGGUGGGGGUUGGAAAGUUUCGGCGGUUGGGGAUGGGCUCGCGGCUUAUCAGCUUGUUGGUGGGGUAGUGGCUUACCAAGGCUUUGACGGGUAGCCGGCCUGAGAGGGUGACCGGCCACAUUGGGACUGAGAUACGGCCCAGACUCCUACGGGAGGCAGCAGUGGGGAAUAUUGCACAAUGGGCGGAAGCCUGAUGCAGCAACGCCGCGUGCGGGAUGACGGCCUUCGGGUUGUAAACCGCUUUCGCCUGUGACGAAGCGUGAGUGACGGUAAUGGGUAAAGAAGCACCGGCUAACUACGUG